GGGCGGUUAGCUCAGCUGGCUAGAGCGUCUGCUUGACAUGCAGGAGGUCAGUGGUUCAAGUCCACUACCGCCCACCA
rnacentral:tRNA from 1 species